rnacentral:rRNA from 1 species
ACGCUCGACACCAGGGAGCAGCAGUGGGGAAUAUUGCACAAUGGGGGAAACCCUGAUGCAGCGACGCCGCGUGGAGGAAGAAGGUCUUCGGAUUGUAAACUCCUGUUGUUGGGGAAAAAGAGGAUGGUACCCAACAAGGAAGUGACGGCUAACUACGUGCCUAGCAGCCGCGGUAAUCUGAGGCGGGCGUGGACGAAGGC